GACGAACGCUGGCGGCGUGCCUAAUACAUGCAAGUCGAGCGAAGUUUUUCUGGUGCUUGCACCGGAAAAACUUAGCGGCGAACGGGUGAGUAACACGUAAAGAACCUGCCUCAUAGACUGGGACAACUAUUGGAAACGAUAGCUAAUACCGGAUAACAGCAUUAACUGCAUGGUUGAUGUUUAAAAGUUGGUUUUGCUAACACUAUGAGAUGGCUUUGCGGUGCAUUAGCUAGUUGGUGGGGUAAAGGCCUACCAAGGCGACGAUGCAUAGCCGACCUGAGAGGGUGAUCGGCCACACUGGGACUGAGACACGGCCCAGACUCCUACGGGAGGCAGCAGUAGGGAAUCUUCCGCAAUGGGCGAAAGCCUGACGGAGCAACGCCGCGUGAGUGAAGAAGGAUUUCGGUUCGUAAAGCUCUGUUGUUAGGGAAGAAUGAUUGUGUAGUAACUAUACACAGUAGAGACGGUACCUAACCAGAAAGCCACGCA
rnacentral:rRNA from 1 species